rnacentral:misc_RNA from 1 species
GAAAAACAAGAGGAGGCUAUAGGUACGCAAAAGGGGGAGAGCUUAACGGACACACAAAGAAAACAGAAGCAACGAACGAAAGCGUGUUUUGCCAUAGCGCGCGUUUUCCUAGUUUUUUUUUUCGACAACGAACCGGUGACUUUGUCUUAUUUGGUUUCCUUUCCGGUGACAACAAAGAACCGCAACGCUAUACAGUGUUUACUCGUCUCUUGUCCCACUUUUUUGCCACUUGCUUGUUUUUUUUUUUCGCAGUGAAGAGUUAUCCUUCCUCAAAAAAGUGAGAAAGAAAGAAAAGGGAUAGCACAUCUUUUUUUCUUGUUCUCUCCCCUUUCCAUACUGCCUGUAACCUCUCUCGCUUUCCACGCGUCGUUUUCUUUUCUUCUUUUGCGUUCCUUCGCUUGCCUCUCUUCUCUCUUGUCGUUUUCGUUUAAAUCUUUUUCUUUAAUUGGUUAUUUCUCAUUUCUCUCGUGCUUUCUCGCUUUCUAUUUUUCCACCCCUUUUCACCUUUUUUUUUCUUUUCAUUUCCGUUUUCGUUCGUUUUCGGUGCUUUUACUGCAUUUUUUUUUGUUUGUUGGCUUCACUGUUCGUUUGCUUUACAGAUUCCCAGAUCUCUCUCCCGUGUUUGUGCGCUCUUCUCUCUUCUCAGGUUGUUCCGAUUUUUUUUUUUGGCUCGAAGUGCUCACACGAACGUUUUUCCUUUUGUUUUGUUUUGCUUCCCUGCGUACCUCUGCUACGCACUAUUACGACCACUAAUACGAAGGUACGUCACCCCUUUUAUUUUGUCCGCGACUGGCCGUAGCUUUGUGUGCACUUCUCCCGCUUCAUGAUGAUGAAGUCUUACCGACCGCCGGCGUCCUUCCAGCAGGGCCGCUACAUCCCAAACAAGGUGCUCGGUACAGGGACGUAUGGACAGGUGAUUCGAUGCUACGAUACCGUCAUGGGCAAGGAUGUCGCUGUGAAGGUCGCGCAGAGUGACGCCGCGUACCGUCGCUCCGCUUUGAACGAAAUCAGCGCACUGCUCUGCCUCAAGGAAAACGAAGACUCCGUGAACAUUCUGGACUCCUUCGAGGACGCCGGGCAUGUGUGCAUCGUCUCGGAGUUGCUGGACCGAAACCUCUUCGAGGUACUGCGAAAUCGCGGCUUUGGUCCGCUGUCACUGCGCGAAGUGCGUCAGGUCGCUCUGCGCGUCUUGAGCGCGCUAGCCUCGCUCCACAACAGCGGGUACAUUCACUGCGACAUCAAGCCCGAGAACAUCAUGCUGCGCCGAAGCACUCCCGUCAGCUCGGAUUCCUCCUCACCCAUGCUGGGGCCCUUCACCAGCGAGAAUGCCAGCAGCCGGUCGUCGAACAAGAGCGGCGAGCAGAACAACUUCCCGAACGCGCUGGCUCCCGGGCAGGAGGCCCUGAAGCUGGACACCAACGCCAACGUUCACAACCAGCUGUGGCGUAACACGAGCUCGAUCGACUCCCUCGUUGGGAGCACGCACAGCGCUGCUUUCCAGGACGGCGAUCUGAACAUGGGCUUCUCCCCGCGCACCGGCAACCGUCUUGGGGGCUACUCGAAACAACAACACGGACAGCGCGGCAGUGGCGAUGCCACAGCUUCGAUCAGCGGUGCUGGCAUGCGUCACAGCGGCAGCCUCGAUGGACUCUUUGGCAUGCCAGCUGCUGCAGUCGGCGCCUCCGGCACCGGCAACAACACCCGCAACGACCUCCGUGUGAAUCGCAACACCCUGGGCAACAAGGAUAGCGAGUCUCAGGAACGGACGCAGUUCAACCCCGACGCCAAUCCGUACUGCCGCACGUGCCUGAUCGACUUCGGCGCCGUGCGCCGUUUUAACGAGAACACGUACUACGACGUGCAGUCGCUCUGGUACCGCGCGCCGGAGGUGCUGUGUGGGCUUCCAUACACCACUGCGAUCGACUCCUGGAGUGUUGGCUGCGUCCUCUUCGAGCUCUUCACCGGCAAACCGCUUUUCCCGGGCGAGAGCCUGCAGCAUCAGCUCUCGCUGAUUGUGCAGCACGUCGGCCAUCCCUCUCAGGCGGCGCUCACACUAGGGUGCUUGGCGACGCAGUUCCAGCUUCCCAUGGUGUACAUGUCGCACGACGCGCGGCGGGAGCACGUGCGGCAGUGGAUUCUCUCCUCCCGCGAGGCGGGGCUGCAGCGGUGGCGCAAGCAUCAGAUGCAGAAGCUGCAAGAGGCUCACAUCGCCGGCAACCAGCCGCUUUGGUCCCACCCUACUGCCGAUGUCCCGAGCACCAAGUCGGAGGAGGACGCUCUGCUAACCGCCACUCCCUACGGCGAGUCAGACGUGGACGGGGCUUCGGAGGAGCUGGAGCUGCUUGUGGACCUGGUUUGCGACCUGCUCAAUCCUGACGAGUCGCAGCGACUGAGCUGCACGCAAGCGCUGCGCCAUCCGUUCCUGAACAACGCCUCCAAGUGCCGCAGCGCUGCCCCGUGCCCGUGCACCGCCACCCCAGCCGCCUGCUUUCCGGCUGUGUCUGCCGCGCCAGCGCCGAUGCCGUGUAUUAUGGCCACGACUACCACCGUACAGCCGGUGAUGAUGACCGCCUCGCCAUUGAGCGUGCCGAUGGGAUGCUCUCCUGCCAGCCCGUUUGUGAUGCACCCGGUCCACUCUGCCCCAGCCGCCACCGUUCCCUUCACCGUGGCACCCUUAGAGUCGAUGGUGGGGGUGGAAAUGGAGGUGUCGACUCUCGGUGUUUCUUCGCAGCAUCAGCCCCCUCAGGCGUUCAGCACUUACCCCGCCGUCGCGGCCUCAACCGUGUACACUACCAAUAGCACUGGGCAGGUGAUGCAGUGCACUGUGCCAGUCUUCACCCAGGUGACUCACCAAGUCGCGCCAAACGUCGGCCACGCGUUCCUACCGCUUGGCAUGACCGCACAGAAUCCGGCCGGUGGCACCUACUGCUCCCCCACCACAACUGCAUCGCAGCAGCAGUACCCGCCGUCGGGAAUGAGCAUCUCACCCACGUUCUCGCCGAGAGGAGCGCUCGUACACGCGCAUGUGCCGCUGGGGUUCACACCCACCACAGCUUCCAACCCUGCCGCCGUCGCCGCUCCUGCAGCGUCCGUACAACCCCUCGGUGCCUCAUCGUACGUGCUCGCCAGCGCCGGCACGGUUCCCUGCAUGCACGACUACCACUCUGAGAUGGCUUCCGCUGGGAUGCCGCCUUAUGUCCUGUGCCAUUUUCAGCCGCCGCACGCCUGCGCCACCGUCAUGUCUCCUUGAGCGCGAACGCACACUGCAGUGAUGAAAAUCGACACCAACAGUGCCAGUCACCUGCACGCCUCGUGCGCGCCGGUGCACGUGUGUCCUGGCUCUCCUCAGACCUACUUUACAGGUCUUUGCGGUUCUCUUUUUUUCCCCUUCACCAGUGUGAGUUUUUUUUUCCCAUUUUGCGAAGGGGCAAAAAAAAAAAGACACAAAACAACAACACAGCACAACGAGUUGACGAGGGCCGCUUCGCUUCUUUCUUCUUUUUUUCUUCCUCUUCCAUUUUUUUGCGACUUGCGAAGCCAGAGAGUUCACGGCUGGACGUGCACUCCCACAAAGAACAAAAAAGGGGAGAUAAAAAGAGUGAUUGGGGAUGCUCUUGUUCCAACCACCGUCUCUGAGUUCAUCACCGCCACGAACAGAAGCAGAGCAACAAAGACAACUGGGGGCGAUAGGGGUGCAUCAAGUGCAGUUGCUUUACUUGUGCCAGACCCACCCGCCCUUCUCUCUCUCUGACCUUUUUUCUCCGUCUCCCCGCUUUCUUGUACGUUCUUUUCCAUUUUCUCUUUUCUUUUGCUUUUGCGUGUUUCACCCUUUUUUCCGUUUUUUUUUUUCCUUUUCGUUCCUUCGCUUCAUUUUUUGGCUUUGUUGUCCGUACUGCUUUCCAAUGCCCGAUCUCCCUCCCUCCCUCUCCCUCUCUCUCUCUCUCGGUUCUUUUUAAUUUAUUAUUAUUAUUAUUAUUUUUUUUCAUUUGCUCUGCCUCCGCUUGCCUUCUGCGUGUGUUGUGUACACAAUACAAAGCGACCAUCACCGCAUCUCCGCCCCGCACGCGUGCUUGCCUGUGUUCCUUGCUACCCUCUUUUCGGCGCUUCUUGAUUUUUAUUUUUCGCUAUGUGCUUGCCACUGCGUGCCUCUAGAACUGCAGCUAGCGACUUCUCUCAUCUGCAGCACUGCCUAUGGCACCCCUCAAAAAAAAACGCUCAUACAGGCGCCUCCCUCUUCUUUCACUCCGCAUGCGCACAUGGAAGAAAAACAAGAACAACAGGUCUUUGUGUUUCUAGACACCACGUACUACUAUUUGCUGUUAUUGCUCCUCCAUUUCCGAAAAGGGGCAAAAAAAAGAAGUAAGGAGGGAACGAGAGGAGUAGGCAAUCAAGGUAAAAAUCAAAGAACCCCCUCAAAAGGGCUAGACGCUGAUGUAUAUCGAGGAUUCGCGACUGUGCCUCCACGCCUUUCUCUUUCCUAUCUGCACACCUCUUCUUGUUCGCUUCCGUUGUCUUCUAUCAAAAAAUAUUUUGCACAUUUUUCUCGCGUGAGUUCUUCUCCGCUCCCCGUUUAUAUCUUUUUUAAUAUAUUUCCCCUGCUCUUUUUUUCGCUUUCUCUCUCUCUCUGUACACUUACCCGUUUUACUUGAAAGAGGAACUGUCCUUUUUCUCUUUUUUUUGUUUUGGCUUUUGUGCCUCUCUUCUCUGCCUCGCAUCACCUCCAACGCUUCUCAUCGGUCCCUCCUCUGGGUUCUCCUCCUCUUUUUAUUUUCGCCUUUAACUAUAUAUAUAUAUAUGCCCUCUAUUGGCUCCUUGGCGCGUUUUUUCCCUUUUUGUCGUCGUGUUCCUGCUCUCCCACUCCUUUUUUGAUAUUGUGUGCGUCGUACUUCUCUCCUCUUUGGCCCAACGAGGACUGCCUCUCUCUCCCGCUUUUUUGUUUGUCUUCCUUUUCGGCCUAUCUUUUUUUCUCUCUUAGCUCUUUGUUUUUUUUUUUUUUGUGUUGUCUCAUUUUUUUUUCCUUUCCGCUCUUCCGCUCUCCAUCUCUACUGCAAUGUGUGUGUGUGUGUGUGUGUGCUUGUUUUGAAUUUUCAGUCCCUGAUUCCCUUACUUCGCUUCAAUUCCCGCUCGAUCCAUUUUUCUCCUUCCUGUUGUUGCCCAUGUCUUGUGUGUUUGUGUGUAAGUAUCUUUUCUUUUUUCUUGUUCUUGUGGUUUACGAUGAUGGGCGUUUUUUUUCUUUACUUUGUUGGGUGCUCGUUAUGACAUCUUCGCCGUUCUCGUUGAGACGCAGUAGAGGCAAAAAGAUGGGAGCGUGAGAGGACAACGCAGUGCGAGACAUCGAGGUCUCUACGCGGUAGUGUCGUCUUAUUUUGAAUUUUCCAUUUUGUCCUCGGUCUCUUCUCUCAUCUUCUUUCUACGUGUGUGCACGCGGUUUUGCCCAUCUGCAAAGACACACUCACACAAAAGGAGAGGAGGAGGAGACUGGCACAUGCACUCGUUUCUUUUCUUGCCUCUUCUUAAUUGUUUUUCUUCCGCUCAAUGAGACGAAUAAACUCUUCCCUCUGUACAUACGUGAAUUAAAUCUCUCUGUAAAAUGAUCGAUCGAGACACCAAAAGGCAACAAGAAAACAAGCGCCGAAAAAAAAUAAGAAAACAAAAGACAAGGGCGAGAAAGAGCGCGACUGUCUCUCCUCCUGCGAAAAGUAGAAAAAGAGAAGUAGGCGGAAAAGUCGGGUGGGAACAAAAUCGAAGGAAAGAGAAAAGAGCGAGCAAUACUUUUCCGCCUCCUUGAUUUCGCCCUCUUUUUUAUUUACCUUUCUCUUGUACACACACGCGCACACAGACGCUUUCAAGAUUCGUACAGUUAAAGAGCUGCUUUUUACUUUUCUUUGUGCUCCCUACGCCCCCUCCCUUUUUCUCUAUUUGCGUCUGUGAUCGUGACCACCUGCAUCCCACGCACCAACGGAAGGCAAGGACACACACACACACAACACGCACACAGGAGGGAUAUCGAGGGGCGCAAAUACACGCGCGGAACACGAAGAAUGAAGUGUUUACAGUCGCACGUAUUCCUAACAGCUGACACAGGCAUUGUAGUGCGCCCUCAAUCUCUCACAUCUUUUUGCAGCGUCCUCUUUUUUCUUGAGUGGCUGAGGUUUGUGCGUGUAUGUCUUCCCACUUUGCUUCUUCAUCGUCUCGCUUUUUUUUUCUUGCCUACUUGUCUUCUUCGUCUCUUGCUUUACGGUGGUGACGCACUCUCCUCCUUCCCUUUCUAAGUCUUUUUUUCUCCUGUUUCUUCUCCACUUCUGCUUCCUUUAAUGCCUAGCUUUCUGCGUGUGCGUGUUUCAUAUUAAAGAAACUAUCAACAUCCCUCUUGUGCUUCCCCCCUCUGUCUUGAAUGCUCCCCUUUUUUCUCUCUCUAUAUAGGAGUACCCCCUAUCUCCAUCCUUCACUGCCUCUCAUGCGGUGGUCUUCUCCCCUUUUUCAUGUUUUUUUUUUUCGCGGUUUCAUCUCGGUUCCUGUUCUCUUCUCCGAGUGCUGUUUUUUCUAACUCCCUGAGUUCUUUGGUGCUACCAUGUGAUUCUCAUAUACGCUUCCGCGGUUCUCGCUUUUUUUACUUUUCAUGUGUGUGCUUCUAAGAAAGGGCUCUUUUCUUCUUGAUUCAGUCUUCUCAUUUUCUCCCGUAUUAGCACUUCCAUUCCUGCGGCUCGUGUCGUGGCUCUGUCGGUCUUUCACCCGUCUCUCUUUUUCUCUCCCUUUGCGGGGAGAAAAAAAAAACAAGGGAAGGGGUGGGGAGGCAGCCCCCGUGAGAGAAAGUGCGAGCCGCUCUGUCACUCCUGAAGGCCCCUUUUUUCUUCGUUUGCUUGCUUUCAUUUUAAACGCUGUCUUUACGUCGUUCUCAUUUUCGUUUGCCUACUUCCCUUUUUUUUCUUUGGGUCUGCUUCCCCCUCUUUUUUUUCUUCUUUCGCGCGCUUGCUUCUUGAACUUCUCCUUUCUGGCUUUCUUUUCGGACGUUUCUGUUCGCAUGUGUUCUCUCCAUCUUUCUCUCUUCGCUCUCGUCGAUACUUGCCCAUCUACUCCGCGUGCGCGUUCUCUUU